rnacentral:rRNA from 1 species
GCUUAACGCGAAGAACCUUACCAGCCCUUGACAUGCCGGUCGCGGACAGUGGAGACAUUGUCCUUCAGUUAGGCUGGACCGGACACAGGUGCUGCAUGGCUGUCGUCAGCUCGUGUCGUGAGAUGUUGGGUUAAGUCCCGCAACGAGCGCAACCCUCGCCUCUAGUUGCCAUCAUUCAGUUGGGCACUCUAGAGGGACUGCCGGUGAUAAGCCGAGAGGAAGGUGGGGAUGACGUCAAGUCCUCAUGGCCCUUACGGGCUGGGCUACACACGUGCUACAAUGGCGGUGACAAUGGGCAGCGAGGCAGCGAUGCCGAGCUAAUCUCCAAAAGCCGUCUCAGUUCGGAUUGCAUUCUGCAACUCGAGUGCAUGAAGUUGGAAUCGCUAGUAAUCGUGGAUCAGAAUGCCACGGUGAAUACGUUCCCGGGGUCUUGUACACACCGGGGGUCUUGGUACACACCGG